UACGAAAGGGGCUAGCGUUGUUCGGAAUUACUGGGCGUAAAGCGCACGUAGGCGGCACUGUCAGUUGGGGGUGAAAUCCCGGAGCUCAACUCCGGAACUGCCUUCAAGACUGCAGAGCUGGAGGAUGCGAGAGGUGAGUGGAAUUCCGAGUGUAGAGGUGAAAUUCGUAGAUAGUCGGAAGAACACCAGUGGCGAAGGCGGCUCACUGGCGCAUUUCUGACGCUGUGGUGCGAAAGCGUGGGGAGCAAACAGG
rnacentral:rRNA from 1 species